rnacentral:rRNA from 1 species
GUGAGGAAUUUUGCGCAAUGGGGGAAACCCUGACGCAGCGACGCCGCGUGGAGGACGAAGGCCUUCGGGUCGUAAACUCCUGUCAGAGGUGAAGAAACCCGCAAGGGUUGACGGUAACCUCAGAGGAAGCCCCGGCUAACUACGUGCCAGCAGCCGCGGUAAUACGUAGGGGGCAAACGUUGCUCGGAAUUACUGGGCGUAAAGGGUGCGUAGGCGGCUGAGCAAGUCAAGGAUGAAAUCCCGCGGCCUAACUGCGGAACUGUCUUUGAAACUGCUCAGCUUGAGGAUAGUCGAAGAAAACGGAAUUCCCGGUGGAGCGGUGAAAUGCGUAGAUAUCGGGAGGAACACCAGAGGCGUAAGCGGUUUUCUAUACUACUCCUGACGCUGAAGCACGAAAGCUAGGGGAGCAAACGGGAUUAGAAACCCCUGUAGUCC